UGUAAUGAGAGGACACACUGAGGUAC
rnacentral:piRNA from 1 species